UGAGCAGAUGGAGGCGUGGCAUGUGUUUCAGUCACGCUUCAGCUUAAUCAAUGAAAGCAGCAGCUGGCAGUGGAGAGUAGCGAAGGGCGAGUGCAUCGCAAGAGAGGGUCAGGAGAGAGCGUAAGGGCUUUGGAAUGCGGAUUAUUGAUUUCUUGUUUGUUAAUAGAAAAUGCGCGCGCAGCGCUUUGAUUUGUUGAAAGAGCCUGAGAGAGAGAGAGAUGAGAGCAAGGCUGAAACUGGCGGCAUGUUGUCGGCGGUCAGGAUGGCGACGACGGCAAUUGAGAGAAWAUACGAACUGCACUAGCAGCAGCAGCAGCAGCGAUUCAGUGCGAAAAGUGUGCAAAGCGAAGCGAGGCGAGGUUCCCAAAAGGCAGCAGCAGAAAUUAAUAAAAGAAAAAAAAGCCAAAGCAAUGCCACAGCUGCUACAACUAAAAUCGAAUAUUAGCAAAAAGCAUAAACUAUCUGUUUAAUAGUUAAUUACUAAUAAUUAAGUUGUUAAUCUAGCUACGAGUUACAGUAAAAAAAAAAAAAAGAGAAACGAAAGUUUUUCGCACAAAACUUUGAUGUCACUAAAAAUCGAUAAUAGAUUCAAAUUGUGUAAAAUUUAAGCGAGCUGCAGGAAAAAAGAUUAGUAAAGACAUAAAAAACAAGCGCAUUACACACGAGCUUUAAAUCUGGUUAUAUAACGGACACACACACAGCGAAGGCGAAUCGAUAGGACAGGCCAAGAUGAAGCGCAACUAAUUGGCCAAGCACGCGAGGCAUUAGCAUAAGCGAGAGUAAAAGAGAGCGAACGAGCGGCCGAGCGAGAGGGAUAGAUAGUGUGACAACAUUCUGGCCGAGAUUAACGUAGAGUAAAGCGCAGCUACAGUCAUGGGCAAAAAGAAAGUGCCCAGCGAGGAUCUAAUUGUGCCGCCACAGGACAAUCGCAUCUGUGGCACAAUUUGUAUAUGCCAAAUGACGCUCGUCCUCAGCUCCGUGGCGUUGGUCUAUCUGACCGUAGCCAUCUAUAUGCCGUCGACGCGUGCCUUCAAGAGCGGCAUCGAUCCGACGCCCGUUAUGUGCACCACCACGCGAGCCGUCAACAAGGAGGGCUGCGAGUGGGGCAGCUGCGGCGAGUGGUGUCUGAGCAAAACCUCCGGCGCCUGCAUUCAGAUCUAUGUGAACCUGCGCAGCAACGGCACGAAUCUCACGUUCCAAAACUGCACGAACUCGGCGAACAAGACGUGCUACGGCAUCGAUCAGGAUCGCGCGGACAAGGCGCGCUGCAUCAACGACGAGUGCAAGAAUCUCACUGGCACCUUCAACUGCACCGCCGGGCAGUGCUUGAACAUAACGGACGCCUUUGAGUGUGUGUUCCACAACAGCGAUGCUCCGGUCAAGUGCUCCGGGCGACGUGGCAAGAUCAACUGCAUGGACAUCAGCGGCUUGUUCUCGUGCAGCCGCGGCACCUGCCGCAAGAUACGCACGCCCUACAACUGCGAUAGACGUUGCGUGGAUAUACCCACCCGGAACAAGAACGUGGUGGUGCUCAGCGGAGACAAGGUUUACCUAUCGCAGUGCCAGAAUGCCAUCAAUGCGGAGACCUUGGAGGAGGUGUGGAAUGAGUCGAGCGACAACGUGGCCAUGACAUCGUGCUACUUCAUCAAGAACACMUCGGAUCGAGUGGAUGCCGUAGACUGCAUCAACGGAUCGACGCUGGAGCACAAUAUGCUCAGUGACUUGACCAAUUUUACAUAUCUCAGUCAUUUGCAUGUGUCGGUGGCGACGCCGGUGCCGGAGAUAGCUCCGCCCGACGUCGACUUAACCAUAUCGAAUGAAUCGAAGCUGAUGAUCAAUUUGGAGGGAUGUGUCAACACGCUGAUGGAUGAGUGCAAGGAGUUCCUGAAGGUGUUCGGCCGGGAUGGCAGCGAUCACAAUGCCCGCGCACGCUUCCCCUGCUUCUAUUCGCCAUCGAAGAAGGAUAUUGUUGUGGCCCGGUUCGAUCUGGAGGUCACCUAUCGCCAGUUCGUGUUCGCGUCGGUGGUGCCGUCGGUGCUGUUCGUGGUAUCCUGCUCGGUGCUGCUGCUAUGCCAGCGCACCGUCUAUGUCGGCGACGAUGCCAAGAUGCGCUUCAAGGGCUGCGUCGACACGGACACCAUUCUGUCCAAGAACAACGUCGGCGCACCUACCAACGGCGACAUGGGUGGAGGCGGUGGCGAUGAAGUCAUGGCCCUAUGAGAUCCGUCACGUAAGCUUAACAUAAAGAGCCUCUUCCAACUAGGGUAAACACACACACUUAGGCCCACUGUGCUACGUCGGAAAAUUGCAUUGCUUAAUUGACAAACGAUGGGCAUUCCUCUGCUCCAGGAAGACAGUCCGGUUCAUCAGACUGGCGUCUUCGCACUGCAAUAAAUGGAGUUGGGCAUAGUAAACAAUCGAGUAACACUUUGUAAUCCUUCCAUCGAAAUACUAACAGACCACACACCUGAGCGCAGCUUGCUAAAGGACACUCCUGAGCUAACAGCAAACACAAAAACGAAACGAAAAACUAUAUAAAAACUCUAUACAUAUAGAGUGAUAUCUAUAUACACCACAUGCGAGGCACGUGAACAAUUCUCGAGUUACGAACACAAAGAACCGAAGAAGAGAGGACAAUAUUAGUAUAAUUUCUAUAUUUGAAUUCGAUUUUCUAUUUAGUUUUGGGAUAGGCUAGAGAGGCGCGCCAUCUACUGAGAGUAAUUAGCGUUGGGCAUGGCCUGGUUGAUUGAUUGAUGCUUUAACUUUAAGUUAAGUAAAGAAGAARAAAACUAACWACAACAUCUAUAGGGAAUACCUUCAAUGCACUCACAUACACAAGCACUGAAACACACACACUCACACAGAUACUCACACACACUCACAGAGGGAACUAGAAUCAGCCCUUAGAAGCAGGCAAACAAAAUUCAGCAAAUGGUCAAACGGUUUGGAGGGAUGCGUGAUCAAAACUAAGAAGAUUUAUGAAAUAACAAAAUGAAGAAGAAG